CGGGUAACAGAGAACACAUAACUACGCCCAUUGGAAAUACUUGUUGUAGCCUUGCGGUGGAGACAGAUGGAUCGGUGUUCUCACUGCACCAACUCAAGAUCCACCGGAAGUACCACCGGAAGAUCUUUCAGCAGCUUUUAGCGCUGCGUAUCGAGGAGGGUUGGGAGGCCGACUACCUCACUUGCAGGAGGUGCGAGUGCGGACGACAGUGCGCACUAUGCCAGCCGCCUGCACCACAAGUCUAUACAAAAUCCGGCAGAGAUUCUAGAGAAGAGGAAGAAGAAGAGGACUACGAAGAUGAGCCAGAGGAAGAAGAACCAAAGAGCAGAGGGAAAAAGAAGAAACCAAAGAGCCAACGCGGGCGUGGAAGAGGAUAGAUCUCCCAAACUGUGGCGGAUCCCCAAGCUUAUGGGCGGCGCUGUGAAAAUUUUGUUGUUUAUUAGUUAUAAACCAACGUUAUAUCGCUUCCAAAGAUAAUGAACUGCAAUACUUACGGAAAAGAAGCAACACAUAUUAUAUCAUUUCCAUGCAUAACGAUCAAACCUUUAUGUAAAACGCAUAGACGUCCUGCGUUUCCCGGGCUAAGCAUUCAAUACAUAACUUGAAAUGCACACAUAAUAUGUUAUAAUAUUUGUUGCUUGAAAGUAACAGAAUUUCUAGCCUCCUUGGUCUCUUCCUAUGUGCUUGCCUAUUGGAAUUUGCGUGUUUUUAAUGCAUAGCUUAGUACUAAGCCAACUUUCUGAAAUAUCACAUAUCAAAAGAUAUUUUGAUAAAAGGAUUAUCGAAAGUUAGAUAAUUAAUGAAUUUAUAUUCCUUCUGUCCUUUCAGUCACUUUUCUUAUUUUAUUUUAUUAAUGAUAAAUUCAUUCAUAUUGAUUA